UACGGGGGGAGCAAGCGUUGUUCGGAUUUACUGGGCGUAAAGCGUGUGUAGGCGGAUCGUUAAGUACCUUGUGAAAUCCCACGGCUCAACCGUGGAACUGCUGGGUAUACUGGCGGUCUUGAGCCACCUAGGGGCAACUGGAACAAGCGGUGGAGCGGUGAAAUGCGUAGAUAUCGCUUGGAACGCCAACGGUGAAAACAGGUUGCUGGGGGUGUGACUGACGCUGAGACACGAAAGCCAGGGGAGCGAACGGG
rnacentral:rRNA from 1 species